rnacentral:tRNA from 1 species
UAUCAAGUGGCUGAAUAAAGUAAUGGUCUCUUAAACCAUAUAAUAGUAAAAAUACUCUUGAUAG